AGUGAGGAAUAUUGGUCAAUGGCCGAGAGGCUGAACCAGCCAUCCCGCGUGCAGGAUGACGGCCCUAUGGGUUGUAAACUGCUUUUCUACGCCAAGAAAUCUGAUUACGUGUAAUUAGUUGACGGUAGCGUAGGAAUAAGCAUCGGCUAACUCCGUGCCAGCAGCCGCGGUAAUACGGAGGAUGCAAGCGUUAUCCGGAUUCAUUGGGUUUAAAGGGUGCGCAGGCGGGCUUGUAAGUCAGUGGUGAAAUACUGCCGCUUAACGGUAGAACUGCCAUUGAUACUGCAAGUCUUGAAUAUGGUUGAGGUAGGCGGAAUGUGUUGUGUAGCGGUGAAAUGCAUAGAUAUGACACAGAACGCCGAUUGCGAAGGCAGCUUACUAAGCCAUUAUUGACGCUGAGGCACGAAAGCGUGGGGAGCGAACAGGAUUAGAUACCCUGGUAGUCCACGCCGUAAACGAUGUUCACUCGCUGUCUGCGAUACACAGUAGGCGGCUGAGCGAAAGCAUUAAGUGAACCACCUGGGGAGUACGAUCGCAAGGUUG
rnacentral:rRNA from 1 species